rnacentral:rRNA from 1 species
CCUACGGGGGGCUGCAGUGGGGAAUAUUGGACAAUGGGGGGAACCCUGAUCCAGCCAUGCCGCGUGUGUGAAGAAGGCCCUCGGGUUGUAAAGCACUUUCAGUGAGGAAGAACGCCUGGUGGUUAAUACACAUCAGGAAAGACAUCACUCACAGAAGAAGCACCGGCUAACUCCGUGCCAGCAGCCGCGGUAAUACGGAGGGUGCGAGCGUUAAUCGGAAUUACUGGGCGUAAAGCGCGCGUAGGUGGCUUGAUAAGCCGGUUGUGAAAGCCCCGGGCUCAACCUGGGAACGGCAUCCGGAACUGUCAAGCUAGAGUGCAGGAGAGGAAGGUAGAAUUCCCGGUGUAGCGGUGAAAUGCGUAGAGAUCGGGAGGAAUACCAGUGGCGAAGGCGGCCUUCUGGACUGACACUGACACUGAGGUGCGAAAGCGUGGGUAGCAAACAGGAUUAGAUACCCGUGUAGUC